CAGUCGCCGCGGUAAUACGAAGGGUGCAAGCGUUAAUCGGAAUUACUGGGCGUAAAGCGUGCGCAGGCGGUUAUAUAAGACAGAUGUGAAAUCCCCGGGCUCAACCUGGGAACUGCAUUUGUGACUGUAUAGCUAGAGUACGGCAGAGGGGGAUGGAAUUCCGCGUGUAGCAGUGAAAUGCGUAGAUAUGCGGAGGAACACCGAUGGCGAAGGCAAUCCCCUGGGCCUGUACUGACGCUCAUGCACGAAAGCGUGGGGAGCAAACAGGAUUAGAUACCCCGUAGUCCCUGUCUCUUAUACA
rnacentral:rRNA from 1 species